GAGACAUCGAGGUGAAUGCUGAAGGCGAGUGAGAGUUCAGCGCCGAUUGCCUUCCUUUUGAUCGCUGCCGGAGAAGGAACCUGUGAGCGGCCUAUUGCUGUGUGGCUCGCUGGGUCAGGGAAAACAGCCUCUGCUUUCCUGGUGACUCCUUACAGCCCAAGUCUUCCCAUCCCAGCAACAUCCUUGUGAACCAGUUCAGUACCAUCUCUAACUUAAUGACAUCCUACCCAUGGUAAGGUGAUCAGGACUGCAUACAAUACUCCAGGUUUGAAGAGACAGAUUUAAACUGAAAUAUCUACAGAAGACCCUCCCAAGUCCAGGACAUCUUUUUAACAAUGAGUCAGGCAGCUUGCCUCACUUCAAAGGAAAUUUAUUAUCAAAAAGGAAACCACAGCAUCUGGAAGAAAUUCACUCACUUAUGGGAAGGACAUACAAACAUCUUUCAGAGGACGCCGGAAAUGAACCCCUCAGCUGUAAGAGUGUUGGGCUUAAUGCUAUGCUACCGUGGUGCCCAUAUAUUUUCGACACUUAUUUUAUGCCAAUUUUUUUGCCAAACUUUAUUUUAAUCUGUUUUGAUAUAGAAUUCUACCC